rnacentral:rRNA from 1 species
AUUGAACGCUGGCGGCAUGCUUUACACAUGCAAGUCGAACGGGCUUAGGGGCUUGCUCCUAAGUUAGUGGCGAACGGGUGAGUAAUGCAUCGGAACGUACCGUGUAGUGGAGGAUAACCCGGCGAAAGUCGGAUUAAUACCGCAUACGAUCUAAGGAUGAAAGCAGGGGAUCGCAAGACCUUGCGCUAUACGAGCGGCCGAUGUCGGAUUAGCUAGUUGGUAGGGUAAAGGCCUACCAAGGCAACGAUCCGUAGUGGGUCUGAGAGGAUGAUCCGCCACACUGGGACUGAGACACGGCCCAGACUCCUACGGGAGGCAGCAGUGGGGAAUUUUGGACAAUGGACGAAAGUCUGAUCCAGCCAUGCCGCGUGAGUGAAGAAGGCCUUCGGGUUGUAAAGCUCUUUUGUCCGGGAGCAAAUCCUGUUCACUAAUACUGAGCGGGGCUGAGAGUACCGGAAGAAUAAGCACCGGCUAACUACGUGCCAGCCGCCGCCGUAAGAC